GACGAACGCUGGCGGCGUGCCUAAUACAUGCAAGUAGAACGCUGAAGAGAGGAGCUUGCUCUUCUUGGAUGAGUUGCGAACGGGUGAGUAACGCGUAGGUAACCUGCCUUGUAGCGGGGGAUAACUAUUGGAAACGAUAGCUAAUACCGCAUAACAAUGGAUGACACAUGUCAUUUAUUUGAAAGGGGCAAUUGCUCCACUACAAGAUGGACCUGCGUUGUAUUAGCUAGUAGGUGAGGUAAUGGCUCACCUAGGCGACGAUACAUAGCCGACCUGAGAGGGUGAUCGGCCAACCUGGGACUGAGACACGGCCCAGACUCCUACGGGAGGCAGCAGUAGGGAAUCUUCGGCAAUGGGGGCAACCCUGACCGAGCAACGCCGCGUGAGUGAAGAAGGUUUUCGGAUCGUAAAGCUCUGUUGUAAGUCAAGAACGGGUGUGAGAGUGGAAAGUUCACACUGUGACGGUAGCUUACCAGAAAGGGACGGCUAACUACGUG
rnacentral:rRNA from 1 species